UACAGAGGGGGCAAGCGUUGUUCGGAAUUACUGGGCGUAAAGGGCGCGUAGGCGGUCUGUUAAGUCGAACGUGAAAUCCCUGGGCUCAACCCAGGAACUGCGUCCGAUACUGGCAGGCUUGAAUCCGGGAGAGGGAUGCGGAAUUCCAGGUGUAGCGGUGAAAUGCGUAGAUAUCUGGAGGAACACCGGUGGCGAAGGCGGCAUCCUGGACCGGCAUUGACGCUGAGGCGCGAAAGCCAGGGGAGCAAACGGG
rnacentral:rRNA from 1 species